ACUUUUUCCGCAGAGUCGUUUCGUUUCAAGUGUGCGGUGUUUCCACCUAUCUGCACAUGUAUGGAAAUAUCCCUGUUUUCCACAAGGGGUUGUAAAUCAUCUUGGAAGAUACACUCUCAGGGGGCUCAGCUGUCCUCACUUCGAGCAUACACUGCUAGGAUCUCAGUUCAUGUGCAGAGAUAGAGACCACAGAUGGCGCGCAGAGCAACCCCUUCAACCUGGCACACCAAGGGCCCGUCACCGCUGUGAUCUCCGGCGAGGCAGGGACGACUUCGAAAUGUCUGUGAUUUCCAUUUCAGGAUUGUGCAGGUUUAUUGAGCAUUCAGGCUGUUUUUUGGUCAAGUCUGCACUAAAAAAAACCCUGUGGACUUAUGAGCAGAACUGGAAGGACACCAUUAAAUCAUCAACUUGUUAAAACCAGUAACAGGAUGUGGGCCCGCAAUUAAAACCUACACGGCAAGGGAUAAGAGCCGCAAGGGAAUUAAAAGUCUCGGUGGUCGCCUGCAGAGAUCAGACUUGAGCCUGUGGGUAAUUGUUUUCUUGUGAAAUGCAGGACAGCGCUACAGACACCACCAACUCUUCUCUGCUAACCUCCAGAAGGCUGCAGGCGUACAUCUGCGGAGCAGACAUGUGUGCCACAGAAUAAACAGAGGGAUCUUCACAUGUCGGAGAGACGCUCCGCUGCUAGAUUUGUGAAUGAAACCGGCAGACACGCCCUCGGCACAGACUUGGCAAAUGGCAGGUGGAAACACUUUAGCCACACCUCCAAGUGGAAGACUCAGCAGCCAAUGGGAGAGCGGCAAGUGUUACCAGUGUUGCAUAAUUUGGCUGAAGUGCUUCACGUUUGAGCGCUCCGGUGCACGGUGUGAAAGGAUGGAGCUGAGAGACAGACAGCGGAGGUGGAGAAAACUAAAACCGCGACGUCAGUGCCAGAGAUGUUAGAAACAAUAGUCACGAGUCACACAAACCGCUGUCAACAACCCGAGGAAGAGAACAGAUCAGAGUUUCACGAAAAAAACAAAACAACAAACAAAAAUAGCAAAUACUUCAAACACUUCUGAGCAGACCUGGUGGGUUUUUUCCUCACACAUUUGUUUAUCU